rnacentral:rRNA from 1 species
ACCGGGAUUGCCUCAGUAACGGCGAGUGAAGCGGCAAGAGCUCAAAUUUGAAAGCUGGCUCCUUCGGGGUCCGCAUUGUAAUUUGCAGAGGAUGCUUCGGGUGCGGCCCCUGUCUAAGUGCCCUGGAACGGGCCGUCAGAGAGGGUGAGAAUCCCGUCUGGGAUGGGGUGUCCGCGCCCGUGUGAAGCUCCUUCGACGAGUCGAGUUGUUUGGGAAUGCAGCUCUAAAUGGGUGGUAAAUUUCAUCUAAAGCUAAAUACUGGCCGGAGACCGAUAGCGCACAAGUAGAGUGAUCGAAAGAUGAAAAGCACUUUGAAAAGAGAGUUAAAAAGCACGUGAAAUUGUUGAAAGGGAAGCGCUUGCGACCAGACUCGCCUCCAGGGUUCAGCCGGCAUUCGUGCCGGUGUACUUCCCUGGGGGCGGGCCAGCGUCGGUUUGGGCGGCCGGUCAAAGGCUCCCGGAAUGUAGUGCCCUCCGGGGCACCUUAUAGCCGGGAGUGCA